UGUUGAAAUCAAAUUUAGGGACUUUACUGACGGGACUCUGGGCUGGCUGCUCUGUUCACUCGUCAGCGCAAGUGGCGUGACCAUGUAAUUGGGGCACGGGGCCGGCGCGGCGCGCUGCGGGCUUGCAGAAUUUUGUUUGUUUGUUUGGCCGCGCGCUGGCGCAGCCACGGGCCGCAGUUACUGGGGCGCGCUGUCGUAACAAGCCGCGCGGUGUGGCCUGCACAUUGGGGUAGAGGGGGGGUAGUCUUCCCAGAUGUUCUAGUUAGUUGUUUAGUAAAUUUGACUUCAAUAACGAGCUUUUGUUAUGGUAGGCGCGGCAGGGCGCGCGAAUUUAAGCGCAAGUGAGUGAUGACUCGGGGCUCACUCAGGCGGAGGCUAUGCGUCUCACCUGUGGUCACGAGUUGUUAGUUCGUUCGUGAUGUAGGAAUUCAGGCUCACUCAGGCGGAGGCUAUGCGUCUCACCUGUGGUCACGAGUUGUUAGUUCGUUCGUGAUGUAGGAAUUCAAGCUUUCGGGCGGAAGCUAUGGUCGACGCCAGAGGCCACGAGUCGUUUAAUUUAAGUUAGGUCAUAAUGUAGUCGUCAAGCUUUCGGGCGGAGGCUAUGGCCCUCGUCAGGGGUCACGCGUCAUAGUUUUUAAAAUGUAAUGUUCGUUCGGGAUUUCAAGGGCAGGAGAGGCCCCUACGUUAUUUUUUUAAAGUAAUCGAUCAAGAAAGGCUUUUCGGAAAAUGUGAGUAUGGACUUAUCUUUGUUUUAAUUUUAAGUAUUAAUUAUGAUUUGAGGUAUUCGGAAGGACUAGGGAAGUGUUUAGUGAAGUUCUCUCAUUCUCUCUCUUGUAAGGUCGUUCAAUCGUUAAGGAAGUAAAGAGAUUAUUGUUUUAAAUUGUAAUCCCGCUAUUUAAAUGUUCUUUAAAAUGAUGUUGAGUAUUUGACUUUAAGAAUAAAAUAAUUUUAAUUAAGUAUUAUGUUAUUUUGCAAAAUCUCCUUAGUUCAGCUCUCACCAGACAUCCUGUACGGGAUGACGAACCUAUGAUCCUAGGUACAGUAAAGUAUUUUAUGAAGUUAAGACUAGUUGAUGCCAAGCGAGUUGUUUCUAUGUAAAGAGCUACGAUUCUCGCCCCCCCCCCCCUCUGAAGGUGGAUCGUGACAGAAAUGGCGGUGGCACCGGCUAGGUGCACGUGACAGAAAUGGUAGAGUUCGCCGGAUAGGUUCUAUUUCUGGAGAGAGAGAGAGGUAGAUUUUUAUGUUUAUUAUUAAGUUAGUUUCAGCUUCUGAUAGCAGGUUAUUAAGAGUUUACUUGAGGAGAGGAUUACGGAAUUUUAGUCUAUAGUGGAGGAAGUCUUUGAGAUUUUUUUUUUGACGUAACAGAUGUUUAUUUGAGGAUACUUGUAAGGAUAAAGUUUAUAGUGAUAAGUUGUUUUAAGUCGUUGAAUUUAUUGUAGAUUUAUAUCGGGGAUUAUUACGUGAGGAGAAUACGUUAUAAGUUAAAUGCUUAUUAAAGAUAAUGCAAGUGGUUUAGUUUUAUUAAAGUUAAUUUAAGAUUGUAGGUUAAGAGAAUUAUAAUUUAAAAUAAAAAUUUUUUGUCGUAAAUAGGAAUUAUUUUCAAGAGAAGUUUGUUUUGUUUUCGUGCGCGUAGGAGACGAGACGUACGAAUUAAAUCAGUCGAGGGAAGGAUAAACGUUAGAAAGGAAUUAAAGAGAAAACGAGAGUUUAUGUAAAAGAGAGUUAUAGAAUUUAUAGUGAUGUUUUGUUUUAAUUAGAAAAAUGUUGAGAGUUGUUUCAGAACGACACGUCAGUGGACGUGGCAGAAUGAACACGUGACGGGGAGGUGCUGAGACCUAGCGGAGAACGGAGGAACCGCAAGCGAGGGUUGGCGCACCUGAUGGAAUUCGGUGACGUCACGAGCACGUACAGAGACGUGGACGGCCGUGACCUUGUUUUGAUCAGCUGUACGGUAACUUAGCGAUAAGAAAAUAGACUAUUGGUUAAAUAAAUUUAAAUUUAAGUGUGUUUUAGAAGAAGAGGAACUUUCAGUAUAUUCCUUAAGAUGAGCUGAGCAGCAGUCCAGUUUACAAGAUGACAAGAGUUCGAGAGACAAGAUACAAGAUCACUGAAACAAGAGCCAAGACUGAAGAUUCAAGAGAAGAGAAAGCUGGCAGCCAUGGACUUACAAGUGGAGAUUAAUAAGGUCAUGUAAAGUUUUAUUUUUUUUUAUGGAAGACAGUAACUGGAGUUUUUUUUGUUAUAAACAUUAUUUACAGAACUUUUUAGGUUAUAGUAAUGUAAUGGAACUAGUGAGUUGUGGUAGCUGUCAAAAAGAACUAAUACCUUAAGUUUAAUUUUUAAAGUUAAUUUUCUUAAUUUACAGAGGGAUUAGUAGUUUUUUUUAAAACCUUAUUUAGGUUGGAAUUUAAAUACAAUAGCUUAUUAUAAAUGUGUACGAACAGUUCAAGUUCACAGUACUGAUAGGUAGGUCAGAUGAUCUUAUUGAUUUUGAUGAUUUGUUGUUUUGAGUUGAUUUUUAAGUGUUGUGAAUUAGACAAUGAAAUAGUUCUGAAAACUUAAAUUAUUUCAAGCUAAGAAAUAGUAAAUUUAAUUGUAACUCAAAGGACACCAGAAUUUAAUUUUUUUUUGAAUUAGUAAUGUUUGAAAAUUUUAUACUUUACAAAAAAAGGUUAUAAACAAACAGAUCGGAUGGAACAAGGAUGCAGUAAAUCACAAUUUCAUUUAGAAUUAUUGAUUAGCUUUUGAGGUUAUGAAGUAAAAGUAAUUAUAGUUUAAAAGUUUGAAUUAAAAAAAAUGGUUUUUUUUAAUUUGUUUGAAAUAGAAAGUUUAAAAGUUAAUUAGUCAUGAUCUAGGUGGGUGAUGGGGUGGGAAUUGGCCACUCUUUUUCCCUAUAACCUCCCUAACAUGGCCUUCUAUUACAACUAACAGAAAUAAAGAAGAAGAAAAA